rnacentral:rRNA from 1 species
CUUGCUCCUUUGACGUUAGCGGCGGACGGGUGAGUAACACGUGGGUAACUUACCUAUAAGACUGGAAUAACUCCGGGAAACCGGGGCUAAUGCCGGAUAACAUGUUGAACCGCAUGGUUCUACAGUGAAAGGCGGCUUUGCUGUCACUUAUAGAUGGACCCGCGCCGUAUUAGCUAGUUGGUGAGGUAACGGCUCACCAAGGCAACGAUACGUAGCCGACCUGAGAGGGUGAUCGGCCACACUGGAACUGAGACACGGUCCAGACUCCUACGGGAGGCAGCAGUAGGGAAUCUUCCGCAAUGGGCGAAAGCCUGACGGAGCAACGCCGCGUGAGUGAUGAAGGUCUUCGGAUCGUAAAACUCUGUUAUUAGGGAAGAACAAAUGCGUAAGUAACUGUGCGCGUCUUGACGGUACCUAAUCAGAAAGCCACGGCUAACUACGUGCCAGCAGCCGCGGUAAUACGUAGGUGGCAAGCGUUAUCCGGAAUUAUUGGGCGUAAAGCGCGCGUAGGCGGUUUUUUAAGUCUGAUGUGAAAGCCCACGGCUCAACCGUGGAGGGUCAUUGGAAACUGAAAAACUUGAGUGCAGAAGAGGAAAGUGGAAUUCCAUGUGUAGCGGUGAAAUGCGCAGAGAUAUGGAGGAACACCAGUGGCGAAGGCGACUUUCUGGUCUGUAACUGACGCUGAUGUGCGAAAGCGUGGGGAUCAAACAGGAUUAGAUACCCUGGUAGUCCACGCCGUAAACGAUGAGUGCUAAGUGUUAGGGGGGGUUCCGCCCCUUAGUGCUGCAGCUAACGCAUUAAGCACUCCGCCUGGGGAGUACGGCCGCAAGGCUU